AGCAGCAACAUUAUCCGGCAUAAGGAGUUCAAUCUCCCGUCACUAGGUAUACGUGGUCUGAUAUCUUCCAAAGAGCAUUUGCUUCCCGUGUUUUUCCUGCCCAUGUGACCAAUAAGAAAUCUCCGCUUAGACGAAAUUAGUCUUUUCUUAUUUAACUGGUUAUAUGGGCCUCUCGAUACUGGAAAGACCCUUAUGGCUCGUCAAAUUGGUCAAAUAUUAAAUGGAAAGAACCCAAAGAUUGUGAACGGUCCUGAAGUGUUAAGCAAAUUUGUCGGAGAGACUGAGAAGAACGUUAGGGAUUUAUUUUUUGAUGCUGAGAAUGAUCAAAGGACUCUAGGGGAUCAAAGUGAGCUGCAUGUUAUCAUAUUUGAUGAGAUCGAUGUUAUCU